rnacentral:tRNA from 1 species
UAUAUCUUAGUAUAUGAUGUACAGAAGUUUUUGGUACUUAAAGAAAUAGUUUAAUUCUAUUAGGUAUAA